rnacentral:rRNA from 1 species
UGCCGAGAGGUGAAACGAAUUUUGCCUGGGGAUGAGCUCGCGUCUGAUUAGCUUGUUGGUGGGGUAAAAGCCUACCAAGGCUUCGAUCAGUAGCUGGUCUGAGAGGACGAUCAGCCACACUGGGACUGAGAUACGGCCCAGACUCCUACGGGAGGCAGCAGUGGGGAAUUUUCCGCAAUGGGCGCAAGCCUGACGGAGCAACGCCGCGUGAGGGAUGAAGGCCUUUGGGCUGUAAACCUCUUUUCUCAACGAAGAAGAUCUGACGGUACUUGAGGAAUAAGCCACGGCUAAUUCCGUGCCAGCAGCCGCGGUAAUACGGGAGUGGCAAGCGUUAUCCGGAAUUAUUGGGCGUAAAGCGUCCGCAGGCGGCCGUUUAAGUCUGUUGUUAAAUCGUGGAGCUCAACUCCAUCACGGCAAUGGAAACUGUUCGGCUUGAGUAUGGUAGGGGCAGAGGGAAUUUCCGGUGUAGCGGUGAAAUGCGUAGAUAUCGGGAAGAACACCAGUGGCAAAAGCGCUCUGCUGGGCCAUUACUGACGCUCAUGGACGAAAGCCAGGGGAGCGAAAGGGAUUAGAUACCCCUGGUAGUCCUGGCCGUAAACGAUGAACACUAGAUGUUGGGGGAAUC